AGAUCUGCCUGAAGCCACAUACCAUGGCUUCUCACAGCAUAACUUGGACCUCCUCUGAUCAGUACAUAAACAUUUUGGUUGGGGAAAAAUAUCCAAAACUUCAGAGAUUUCUAUCUGUGUUGGGGAAAUUGAAAUGACAGAUUUUUUGCUUUAUUGAUUCUGCUGUGGUGAGAAGUGCUUCUAGAAUCUAACACACAACACAGGUUUUGUUUUGUCUUUCUCUUUUUAAAAUUACUUAGUUGCAGAGGAUGACUGAAGGAAUGCAAAUUAAUCGAAACAAGCUAUACUGCAGGUGGCUUAAUGUGCCCAUAGGCUCCUUUUUGAGGAGUGGGAGCUAAUAAAGUUUGUGUGAAAACCAAGAGGAGACGCCCUGCUCCCUUUGGGAUCACGCCGUGCUGCUCGGUACGGACAGUCGGGCACAGAACAUUGGCAUGGAACGUGCCCCUGGAACUGGAGCUACUUGGCCUGCUAAAGACAAAAAAAGCGAACGGCAGGAGAACUGAAAUGAGAUGUGGACGCAGAAGAAGCAAACAGCAGCACAGGGCUGGGAGAGCAGCUUUCAAAGGCUGAGUCUGCAGUUGGGGGAAUGAAGGUGCCAAGUCAGUAACCUUUUAUGUCAUGGCAUGAACUGUAAUGAGUCAAGGCUCUGUCAGGGGAGGGCAAACUGAGCAGCUCUGCCAGGCUUCCAGCCACUUUUGGCUAUGGCAGCUUUUAGGAGAGCAGCUGACAAAUCAUCCCAGUGCUGUGGUGGGGUAAUAAGAGAGGCUCACUGGGUUUGAAGC
rnacentral:lncRNA from 1 species